rnacentral:lncRNA from 13 species
CAGCUACCUGCCACUCGGGCCCUUGGAAGCUGUGUGGAGAAGUGGCCCUAGAGUGUCUCUCUGGAGGGAAGGUGGCAUCCAGAGGUUUGCCGUGUGGAGUUUUCCGGAUGUGUGCACAUUACAGUAGAUUAAAUGCAGAAGCAGGUGGAAUUGUGCCCCCGUCUUGAAGCUCCCAGUACCUCAAAAUGUGACUAUAUUUGGAGAUAGGACCUUUAAAAAGGUCAUGGA